UAACCCCCUUACAGUCUUACCAUUCCCGUAACCUGUGACUGUGAUACCCUAACCGAUCUACAAAAAUGUCGAUGUCUAAAGGUUCCAAGAUGCUCCAGUUCAUCAAUUACCGUAUGCGUGUCACGAUCCAAGACGGCCGCCAGCUAGUCGGCAAGUUCAUGGCCUUCGACCGCCACAUGAACCUUGUAAUCGGAGACUGUGAAGAGUUUCGUAAGCUUCCACCGGCGAAAGGUGCGAAGAAGAAUGAAGAACGCGAGGACCGCCGCACUCUUGGUCUCGUUCUCCUGAGGGGCGAAGAGGUAAUCUCCAUGACCGUCGAAGGCCCUCCUCCGCCUGAUGAAAAUCGCGCUAAAGCCGUUGGAGCUGCAGCGUUGGCCGGCCCUGGUCUCGGCCGUGCUGCUGGCCGUGGAAUUCCUACUGCUCCUUUGAUUCAAGCUCAACCGGGUUUAGCUGGACCGGUUCGGGGGAUUGGUGGCCCGGCUCCCGGUAUGAUGCAGCCGCAGAUUUCUCGACCGCCGGUUCCGAAUAUGUCUGCUCCGCCUAUGAAUUACCCGCAGGCUCCGGUGAUUCGACCUGGACAAAUGCCAUACCCUGGCCAGGGUCCUCCUCCUCAGAUGCCACGUGGACCGCCUCCGCAGAUGCCGCCUCAGUUUGCUCAACGGCCGCCUGGCCAGUAUCCAGUGCCUCCGCCAGGGCAGUAUGGGCAAAGGCCUAUGGCUCCGCCGCCUCAGAUGAUGAGAGGUCCGCCACCGCCAGGGGGAGCGCCACGACCUGGUAUGCCUGGUCCGCCUCCUCCUGCUCGACCUGGAAUGCCUCCGCCUGGUGGACAGAUGCCAGGUUUUGGACCUCCUCGUCCUGGGAUGCCGCCGCCACCAAACAACCAGCAACAACAACAGCAGUAGCAGCUGUAAUCGGGUGAUUUUCCAUUUUGGUUUUAGCAGCCAGGCAUGUGAUUCACAUGUGAAGAUGUUGGGAAGAGGUUUCAUGCUUAUAAACUGCAGCAACUGUGAUGGUGAUGGAGAUAGCCUUGAAUUUGGUGAGGUGAACAUCAUUGCAAGAUCAUGGCCUUCAACUCAGAUUUAGAAGUGAAGGUGGGUUCUGAAAAUUCUCUGAAACAAAAUUAUCAGCAGCAACUUGUACUGUGUUAGGAUCAGAAAGAAAUCAACCAUGAAGAAGGUAGAGUAGAGAGGUAUCAUUAUCAUAUACUUAUAUGAUUUCUCAAACUCAUAACUCAAUCAAUAUUCACAAUUAAAACUAUUAUA